UGCAUCCUUUUCGAAGCGUUGACAGGGAUUAAACAGGAAAUGAAUUUAAUGUAAAGGAAAUAAAAUAAAUUCAUAAAUAUGUAAGAAAGUUUCUCUCUGUUUCUUCAUUGUCAUUUAAAUGGAUUUAACCUAUUUCAAUUGAUGGGGAAAAAUAUUCAGACGAUUUAACGUUUAAAUGUUUAAAAAAAAAAUAUAUUAAGGUUUAUAAUAUAUAUGUAUUCCGACUGUUCGAUAUGCUAGGUAUACGGUACGUUUGUGUGUGGUUUAGUGUUGUUGGAAUGAUAGCCGUGCCUCAACCAAUAAUAGACGUUAAAGUGCUCUCUGCAACUGCAUUGAGGAUCACUUGCGUGGUCAAUGAUAACCGACCCGGAUUGAGAAAGAUAUAUAGAUCUCACAAUGACAUUGUAAUUUCAACCAUUUCUAUAACACAAACCGAAAACGAAUGUGAAUUUGCGUCAAUGCUUUCUAUUGAACAGGUGUAUUGUUCGUGUGUUACAAUUAAUCAAGUUGUGUGCGAUGUUUCUGACAAGAACAAUACACUUAAAUUCGACCACUGGAAAUGUGCAAGAUUCAUAAACAAAAUACCUGUAUUCAGCAGUCUUGAACAGGCACACGAUAACGCGAUUGUGUCCUGGGAUACUUCGGAGGGUACAUCGAUUCCAGUAGAUGUGCACAUGAUCAACACCAUAAAAACGGAACAAGUACAAAUGGAUACAACUAUCGGAAACAGCGAUCUCACAAACUUGUCGCUUAGAAACAACCUAUCUACAAUCGCGCUUAAACAAUCGAGCAAUAUGUCGGAAACCACUCCGUCGUUUGUUGAUUUCAACGAAAGUAGAUACAGCUCUAUGGAGUUGUUAAAAGAUCGUGUAUCGACAUCAUCUUACACCCAUACACACACGUUAGAUGACACAACUGGACUAAAUGAGUCCCACUAUAUACUGAAAGAUGGUUUCUAUCAAAGAUUCAUCAUCGUCAGUGCUACGUGUAUAGCAGUGCUUAUUGCUGCUACGAUAACGAUUUGUGUAUACAGAAAUUACAAUAGAAAUUCAGAACUAAGCACGAGCGACGCUCGUGGAAUCGAAGCAGUCAUUGCUCCCCAUGAAGGUAUUAUUCAAAUAUCCAACUCUGAGAGGUUUUCCGAAGAGUUAACCGAAGGGCGAAAUUCAAAGACAGACCAUUAUGAACGCAUCCCAACUAUACGGAUGUCACCAUUGGCCGACAGUUUUCCCCUACCAUUUGGUAGACUGUCAUUAGAUGAUCAUGACAUUGAACAAGAAGUUGUAUCUGUGCACAAUUACGAAAUAAUAAUAGACGAAAAUGAGGCAGGUUUUAACGGGACACAACAUGAACCAAACCUCCAACCUAAAACCGAUAUAAAUCGAUAUGAGUUGACAAAGAGAUGACGACAGUCCGCAGUUAAAAGGCAUACAUCACCUUCAGGACCCUCGCAAAGAGACCAGUCAGUAUAAGUCCUGCUCUUUGCAAACAUUCCAAACUGACUCCGAAUAACGCUACACCAUGGGAUGUCAAAACAAUCAGUUAUGAGCUCCCUCGCUGUUAGCCCACACAGUAUCAUCGGUCGCUCCGUCCAGACGAGACAGCAGUACAUAUGCCAUGAAUGCUGCAUUACUGACCGAUGCAAUCAGAACCUUGACUUUCAUAAAAAAACGUUAGACCUCAGAAUUAUUACAAAAUGAUUGACUCCACUCAUAUUCGAUCAGAUCGGUUUCUCGAAUAGAGCAUCAACAUUUACCAAUGGUCAACAUUUCAUUCCUCUUCGGUUUCCUUUGAUGGAGACUGGGCGUAAUAGGGAACUUGGACUCCGUGCAG